UUAAGCGACUAAGCGUACACGGUGGAUGCCCUGGCAGUCAGAGGCGAUGAAGGACGUGCUAAUCUGCGAUAAGCGUCGGUAAGGUGAUAUGAACCGUUAUAACCGGCGAUUUCCGAAUGGGGAAACCCAGUGUGAUUCGUCACACUAUCAUUAACUGAAUCCAUAGGUUAAUGAGGCGAACCGGGGGAACUGAAACAUCUAAGUACCCCGAGGAAAAGAAAUCAACCGAGAUUCCCCCAGUAGCGGCGAGCGAACGGGGAGGAGCCCAGAGCCUGAAUCAGUGUGUGUGUUAGUGGAAGCGUCUGGAAAGGCGCGCGAUACAGGGUGACAGCCCCGUACACAAAAAUGCACAUACUGUGAGCUCGAUGAGUAGGGCGGGACACGUGGUAUCCUGUCUGAAUAUGGGGGGACCAUCCUCCAAGGCUAAAUACUCCUGACUGACCGAUAGUGAACCAGUACCGUGAGGGAAAGGCGAAAAGAACCCCGGCGAGGGGAGUGAAAAAGAACCUGAAACCGUGUACGUACAAGCAGUGGGAGCCUCUUUUAUGGGGUGACUGCGUACCUUUUGUAUAAUGGGUCAGCGACUUAUAUUCUGUAGCAAGGUUAACCGAAUAGGGGAGCCGAAGGGAAACCGAGUCUUAACCGGGCGUUAAGUUGCAGGGUAUAGACCCGAAACCGGUUGAUCUAGCCAUGGGCAGGUUGAAGGUUGGGUAACUACUAACUGGAGGACCGAACCGACUAAUGUUGAAAAAUUAGCGGAUGACUUGUGGCUGGGGGUGAAAGGCCAAUCAAACCGGGAGAUAGCUGGUUCUCCCCGAAAGCUAUUUAGGUAGCGCCUCGUGAAUUCAUCUCCGGGGGUAGAGCACUGUUUCGGCAAGGGGGUCAUCCCGACUUACCAACCCGAUGCAAACUGCGAAUACCGGAGAAUGUUAUCACGGGAGACACACGGCGGGUGCUAACGUCCGUCGUGAAGAGGGAAACAACCCAGACCGCCAGCUAAGGUCCCAAAGUCAUGGUUAAGUGGGAAACGAUGUGGGAAGGCCCAGACAGCCAGGAUGUUGGCUUAGAAGCAGCCAUCAUUUAAAGAAAGCGUAAUAGCUCACUGGUCGAGUCGGCCUGCGCGGAAGAUGUAACGGGGGCUAAACCAUGCACCGAAGCUGCGGCAGCGACACUGUGUGUUGUUGGGUAGGGGAGCGUUCUGUAAGCCUGUGAAGGUGUGCUGUGAGGCAUGCUGGAGGUAUCAGAAGUGCGAAUGCUGACAUAAGUAACGAUAAAGCGGGUGAAAAGCCCGCUCGCCGGAAGACCAAGGGUUCCUGUCCAACGUUAAUCGGGGCAGGGUGAGUCGACCCCUAAGGCGAGGCCGAAAGGCGUAGUCGAUGGGAAACAGGUUAAUAUUCCUGUACUUGGUGUUACUGCGAAGGGGGGACGGAGAAGGCUAUGUUGGCCGGGCGACGGUUGUCCCGGUUUAAGCGUGUAGGCUGGUUUUCCAGGCAAAUCCGGAAAAUCAAGGCUGAGGCGUGAUGACGAGGCACUACGGUGCUGAAGCAACAAAUGCCCUGCUUCCAGGAAAAGCCUCUAAGCAUCAGGUAACAUCAAAUCGUACCCCAAACCGACACAGGUGGUCAGGUAGAGAAUACCAAGGCGCUUGAGAGAACUCGGGUGAAGGAACUAGGCAAAAUGGUGCCGUAACUUCGGGAGAAGGCACGCUGAUAUGUAGGUGAAGUCCCUCGCGGAUGGAGCUGAAAUCAGUCAGAUACCAGCUGGCUGCAACUGUUUAUUAAAAACACAGCACUGUGCAAACACGAAAGUGGACGUAUACGGUGUGACGCCUGCCCGGUGCCGGAAGGUUAAUUGAUGGGGUCAGCGCAAGCGAAGCUCUUGAUCGAAGCCCCGGUAAACGGCGGCCGUAACUAUAACGGUCCUAAGGUAGCGAAAUUCCUUGUCGGGUAAGUUCCGACCUGCACGAAUGGCGUAAUGAUGGCCAGGCUGUCUCCACCCGAGACUCAGUGAAAUUGAACUCGCUGUGAAGAUGCAGUGUACCCGCGGCAAGACGGAAAGACCCCGUGAACCUUUACUAUAGCUUGACACUGAACAUUGAGCCUUGAUGUGUAGGAUAGGUGGGAGGCUUUGAAGUGUGGACGCCAGUCUGCAUGGAGCCGACCUUGAAAUACCACCCUUUAAUGUUUGAUGUUCUAACGUGGACCCGUGAUCCGGGUUGCGGACAGUGUCUGGUGGGUAGUUUGACUGGGGCGGUCUCCUCCUAAAGAGUAACGGAGGAGCACGAAGGUUGGCUAAUCCUGGUCGGACAUCAGGAGGUUAGUGCAAUGGCAUAAGCCAGCUUGACUGCGAGCGUGACGGCGCGAGCAGGUGCGAAAGCAGGUCAUAGUGAUCCGGUGGUUCUGAAUGGAAGGGCCAUCGCUCAACGGAUAAAAGGUACUCCGGGGAUAACAGGCUGAUACCGCCCAAGAGUUCAUAUCGACGGCGGUGUUUGGCACCUCGAUGUCGGCUCAUCACAUCCUGGGGCUGAAGUAGGUCCCAAGGGUAUGGCUGUUCGCCAUUUAAAGUGGUACGCGAGCUGGGUUUAGAACGUCGUGAGACAGUUCGGUCCCUAUCUGCCGUGGGCGCUGGAGAACUGAGGGGGGCUGCUCCUAGUACGAGAGGACCGGAGUGGACGCAUCACUGGUGUUCGGGUUGUCAUGCCAAUGGCACUGCCCGGUAGCUAAAUGCGGAAGAGAUAAGUGCUGAAAGCAUCUAAGCACGAAACUUGCCCCGAGAUGAGUUCUCCCUGACCCUUUAAGGGUCCUGAAGGAACGUUGAAGACGACGACGUUGAUAGGCCGGGUGUGUAAGCGCAGCGAUGCGUUGAGCUAACCGGUACUAAUGAACCGUGAGGCUUAACCUU
rnacentral:rRNA from 1 species